AUGGAGAGGGCGUCUUCCUCCUCGACCGCGGCCCCUUGGCCGAGCGAUUCGGGGAGGACGACGACGGGACGCUGCCCCCUCUGCGGCUGGGAGGAGAGCGGGGUCACCGUCGCCCUCAUCUUCGAGCACGCGUCGCGCUGCCGGGAGAGGCGAUUCGAGAUGCUCCAGCGCCAGGCGGAGGAGCGGAUUGCCGGAUCUCUGCCACCGCAAUGGCAGCGGCAGGGUGACAGGCAGUACAGGAGGGAGAACCUGCAGUACAGGCCUAAGAGUAAGCCAUCCUCUGUGUCUGCUUCUGAUGUUGAUCAGAAGUCUGAAGGGAAGGUGGAGCCUGCUGCUGAGGAAAAGCAGGUGGAAGCCCCUGCUCAGAAUGUUGUUGAAGCCGUCCCUGCCUUUGAAUCUGACAAGUCUACAGGUGGCUCUGUCAAGAGGGAGCUGAAGAAGCAAAAGCCUAAGAAGGAAGACUCUGAUGGGGAUGCUCCUAAUGAGACUGCUCAGGAAGAGCAGGAGGCUCCCAUUGAACAAGAGAAAAUUGUGAUUGCCCUUGAAGAAUAUGAGAAGAUGCAAGAAAGGAAGAAGUCCCAGGAGGCCUCUAAACCUGAGGAGAGGAGGGCUGCUGCUGUAGAUUUUGAGGGUCUCCAGCUCUUAGAGAAGAAGAAGAUUGAGGAUGAUGCUAAAUUGAAGGCGGAAAAUGUUCGCAAGGCAAAGGAGGCUGCUGCAAAGGAAGCCAAGCCUCGCAAGGCUAUCAGCAUCCAGGAGUACCUGAAGCCAGAGGAUGGUUCAGAGUACGUGCCUCCUACCCCACCGAGGCGCCCUCAAAAUGGCGGCUACAGGGGAGGCCGUGGCAACGGUGCUUACAAUGGCUGCAGCAGCCGUGACAGCAGCUCUGAGUGCCGGGUCUACAACGCUGGCCGCGGCCAUAACUCCAUCGUGUUCCACAACGCCGAGGCCAAGGCCAACGCCAACGACAGUGGCGCCCCAAGGAGGGUUGAGGGUUACAAUGGCGAGCACCGGCAAGGCGGCUACCACUUACCAGCAAGGUGGGGUGGGUACUACCAGGAGCGCAGGGAUGCCUGCAAUGGCGACCGCCGGGAGCAAGGCAGGUACAAUGGUGGUGGCCGGGGCAAUGGUGGUUACCAGGAGCGCAGGGAUGCCUACAAUGGCAACCGCCAGGAGCAAGGCCGGUACAAUGGUGGCCGGGGCAACGGUUACCAGCAGCACCAGGAUGGCUACAAUGGUUACCGGGGUGGGUACUACAACAGUGGGCGGGGCAAUGGCGGAUACCACCAGGGCGGCAACUACCGGCAGAGGCAAGCUCCCAAGCCAAAGGAGGAGGAUAAAGUGGUGAUCACAGAGGCCGACUUCCCAGCUCUAGGUGGCGCAUCUCACGCGCAGUCCCAGGCCUAG
rnacentral:rRNA from 1 species